GGGGAAUCUCUGUAGCUCAGGGGUAGAAUAUCUGCCUUGCAUGCAGAAGGGCCCAGUUCCCAUUCCUGGCAUCUUCA